CAAGUCGGACGGGAUUGGGACUUCGGUUCCAUGAGAGUGGCGCACGGGUGCGUAACACGUAUGUAACCUACCUUAGUCAGGGGGAUAGCCUCUCGAAAGAGAGAUUAAGACCGCAUAACAUCAGUUUACAGCAUUGUAUACUGAUCAAAUAUUUAUAGGAUUAAGAUGGGCAUGCGGAACAUUAGCUAGUUGGUAAGGUAAUGGCUUACCAAGGCUACGAUGUUUAGGGGAUCUGAGAGGAUGACCCCCCACACUGGUACUGAGACACGGACCAGACUCCUACGGGAGGCAGCAGUAAGGAAUAUUGGUCAAUGGGCGAAAGCCUGAACCAGCCAUGCCGCGUGCAGGAAGACUGCCUUACGGGUUGUAAACUGCUUUUGUACCAGAAUAAACCUUUCUUCGUGAAGAAAGCUGAAUGUAUGGUAAGAAUAAGGAUCGGCUAACUCCGUGCCAGCAGCCGCGGU
rnacentral:rRNA from 1 species